UACGAAGGGGGCUAGCGUUGCUCGGAAUCACUGGGCGUAAAGCGCACGUAGGCGGUUUCUAAGUCAGGGGUGAAAUCCUGGAGCUCAACUCCAGAACUGCCUUUGAUACUGAAGAUCUUGAGUUCGGGAGAGGUGAGUGGAACUGCGAGUGUAGAGGUGAAAUUCGUAGAUAUUCGCAAGAACACCAGUGGCGAAGGCGGCUCACUGGCCCGAUACUGACGCUGAGGCACGAAAGCGUGGGGAGCAAACAGG
rnacentral:rRNA from 1 species